rnacentral:pre_miRNA from 11 species
GACUAAAGGCGUGUGCCACUGUAAGACCCCCGUAGGGAGACCCUCACUCAAAUCUCGGGAAUAGCGCGCACCCAGUGAGGCCCCGGGACCG